rnacentral:rRNA from 1 species
ACAUGCAAGUCGAGCCGGUAGAGAGAAGCUAGCAUUCUGAGAGCGGGCGGACGGGGAAUAAUGCCUAGGAAUCUGACGUGGUAGUGGGAUAACGUUCGGAAACGGACGUAAUACCGCAUACGUCCUACGGGAGAAAGCAGGGGACCUUCGGACCUCACGCUAUCAGAGGAGCCUGCGUCAGAUUAGCUAGUUGGUGGGGUAAAGGCUCACCAAGGCUACGAUCUAUAACUGGUCUGAGGGGACGAUCAGCCACACUGGAACUGAGACACGGUCCAGACUCCUACGGGAGGCAGCAGUAGGGAAUCUUGGGCAAUGGGCGAAAGCCUGACCCAGCGAUGCCGCGUGUGCGAAGAAGGCCUUAGGGUUGUAGAGCACUUUCAGUUGCGAAG